UUGCUCCAUAGUUCAGUGGUAGAAUAACGCACUGUUAAUGCGCAGGUCCUUGGUUCGAAUCCAAGUGGAGCAGUCC
rnacentral:tRNA from 1 species